UGAAUGCUUACACCUUUACCUUCAUUAGCGAUGUCAGGAAGCCAGCGUGGCUAGCUGGGCCAGACUGCAGGAAAGAGGCUAUGAAGUUCUUCUGUUUACUGACAGAGAAACGUGUCCUAGAGAGGCGAUGAAGUGGAGAAGCGGGUAACACUCCCCCAGAGAUGAGGUCAUGGAAUUACAAUGUUGAGAGAGGGUUCCCAGGGGCCCCUCAAAAGUGAGCAGUGGCAAUUUCUGUUGAAAGAUUUUGAGAGGCUUCCAUUUUCUUCAGCUUUUCUAAAUUUCCUCACUGGUACUGCCUGGUGUUCUGGUGGGUCGCCCUGUCUUAUAGAGAGGUCCAUAAAGAUGACCAAGUAAUGGGAGCAUCAUGUCCGGGGGAAGGAAAGAACAUUAUCUGUUCAGAGAAGGACGACUAUCUCUGGCCUCAGCACCAACAGUGCAGGAAGACAGCAGCAUCUCCCUUCCAACAGUGGGACAACUGCAUGUCCUGUAAUGUGAGCCUGAGUGCGCCUUGCUGAGGAGAGCUCUUGACACAUGAAGCAGUCCAAGGCUGACAUCUUCUGCUGCCAUGGAGACGAGCUAAGAGACACUGUUCUAUCUUCAAGCAGAGUUCAAAGGAACUAGGACUCACA